AUGGGGUAAGCUGUGUGAUCGAAGUGUGUGAUUAAGCUUCACUUGUAUUCACACCAUGACUGUUGGCUUUUGUUGUUUGUUUGGAGCAGCGGCUGCAGUGUUGCGUCCCGUCAGGUAAGUGUACAAGUAUCAGUUCGUGGCCGGUGUUGCUUCUGCUAAUUUCAUUCUCGUUGUUGCAGGCCAUGAAAGAAGGAAGAAGGAUAUGAUUUUGCGUCGUAAUGGGUUUUUGUUGUUUGUUCGGAGCAGCGGCUGCAGUGUUGCGUCCCGUCAGGCUCUACUUUGUUGAACACUAAGCUGGGUGAACCAACUUUGUUGUUGCUAUGACCGUAUUACUCAGUUUUACUCACUUGUGUUUGAACGUUACUAAUUUGCGAUUGCACGCCCUAUUUCAGACACAUAUCUCUCCAGCGCUUCAGAGACGUCGCUGGCGCCGAAAUUCUAGCUGUUUCACCGUGGGUCGCCAGAAGAACAGCAGAUCAUUGACUGUCAAUUGUGCGACGCGACACUAUGUGGCACGAAGGAUGUGUACGUGUGAAAUACGUAACUACUGUGUGCGCGGGUUGUUUUGUAUGAUUUUGUCGACACUGGAUACCAC